GGUCGUGUAGUUCAGAGGAAGAACAGAGGAUAAAUUCGUCGCGAAAUUUUUACCUAAAGCAAUUUGGGUCGGUAGCUGACGAUUAUCAGAGUGCCUUGUGUCAUGGGUUCGAGUCCCGUCACGACUC
rnacentral:tRNA from 1 species